rnacentral:piRNA from 1 species
CAGGAGGCCUGAUUUUAAACACCC